rnacentral:snRNA from 1 species
AUUGCUUCUUGGCCUUUUGGCUAAGAUCAAGUGUAGAAUCUUACUUAGUUAUAAAGAUUCUUUAUGUAUUCUAGAUAUGUCAGUCUUU